rfam:Picea glauca, whole genome shotgun sequence.
CUGGUUGAUCCUACUAGUAGUCGUAUGCUUGUCUCAAAGAUUAAUCCAUGCAUGUCUAAGUAUGAACUAAUUUAGAAUGUGAAACUUUGGAUGGCUCAUUAAAUCAAUGAUAUUUUCUUUGAUGGUAUCUUACUACAUGAACAAUAAUAGUGAUUCUAGAGCUAAUACAUGCACCACAUCUCGACUCUUAGGAAGGGAUGCAAUUACUAGAUAAAAAUCCGAUGCAAACUUGCUUGCUUCUACGAUGAAUCAUGAUAACUCGAUAGAUCACAUGGCCCAUGUGUUACUGAUGAUUCAUUCAAAUUUCUUCCCUAUCAACUUUCAAUUUCAAGAUAGAGGCCUACCAUGGUGGUGAUGGGUGAUGGAGAAUUAGGGAUCAAUUCUAGAGAGAGAUAUUGAUAAAUGGAUACCACAUCCAAGGAGGAGAGUAAGAAUACAAAUUACCUAAUCCUAACAUGAGGAGGUAAUGACAAUAGAUAACAAUAUUAGGCCCAUCAAGUUUAGUAACUAGAAUGAGAGAAGUAUAAAUCCCUUAGUGAGGAUUCAUUAAAGGGAAAUUCUAGUGCCAACAACCAUGGUAAUUCAAGAUCCAAUAACAUAUACUUAAUUUGUUGCAUUUAAAAAUAUCAUAGUUGGAUCUUAGGUCUUGAAGGUUGGUCUGCAUAAUCAGUGUGCACCUUCCCUUUCAUCCCUUUUGCCGGUAGCAUGAUCCCGACCUUAAUUGGCUAGAUCAUAGUCUUGAUGUCAUUACUUCGAAAAAAAAUAGAGUGCCAAAAGAAAAAUUACGCUAUUAAUACAUUAGCAUGGAAUAAUGCAACAAGAGUCUAAUCCUAUUAUGUUGGCCUUUGGGACUAGAGUAACAAUUAAUAGGGAGUGUUGGGGGCAUUUGUAUUUCAUGGUUAGAGAAAAAUUUCUUGGAUUUAUGAAAGACGAACCACUGCGACAAAAUUUUCCAAGGAUAAUUUCAUUAAUCAAGAAUGAAAGUUGAGGGCUCAAAGAAAAUCAGAUACCAUCCUAAUCUCAACUAUAAAUGAUGUUGGCCAGGGAUGAACCAAUGUUUCUCUAAGGACUCUGCCAACACCUUCUGAGAAAUCAAAGAGUUUGAGUUCUA